rnacentral:lncRNA from 1 species
UGAAUGAUACAAGCAAACUCAAGUAAGUUACACAAACUUACUUGAGCAAUAUCACAAUAUAUGGAAGUUUAUAACACAAGUUAGCAAUUCACACUAAUCACAAUGUAUAUCAAUAGUACCAAGUAUGAAUUGCGGAAUAUGAAGUGUAGGCCUAAAUAAUCUCUACAAGGAAAUGGCCAACACAAUAUAAUCAACCACCACAAUAUAAUGAGGACAACAAGAUAUAGUGAAUGCACGGUCAAAUGACCAAAGUAAACCACAAGUAAGGAGUUAGGGUUAGGGAUAACCAAAGUCACGGAGACGAGGAUGUAUCCCGAUGUUCACUUCCUUGGAGGGAAGCUAGUCACCGUUAGAGAGGUGGAUGUUACCAAGAAGGCACACCAACGCCACGAAGGCUCACCCUAUUCUCCUUGAGAUAUCACCAUGAAGGCGAUUCUCAACCACUAGUGGUAGACCUUGAGGCGGCCUCCAAACCUUCACAAACUUUCCGGGGGACAAAUCACAAGUUGAUUCCUCACCGGAGCACUCCUACCACCUAGGAGUCUCCAACCUCCAAGAGUAACAAGAACAAAGGGGAAAUGCUCAAGACUUGCUCAAAUCACGAAUUCCUUUGGUCAAGAGAAGGAGAGGGAGUGGAUCUUCACUUGAGUGGAAUCUCUCUCAAGAACUCUCACAAAUCUCUCCGGGAUCUAAGAUUUGAGGUAGGAGAAAGGAGAGGGAGCUUUUCUUCAAGUGUGGGUCAAGAUAGUUGUGUUGCUCAACCCCUCCACGAAGUGGUGAAGGGAUAUUUAUAGUAUGGGCACAAAUCUGGCCGUUAGGGGGGAAUUCUGCUCAGGAAAGUGUCGGACGUCCGGUGGAUUACCGGACGUCCGGUGGCAAAACAGGCACCGGACGUCCGGUGGAACACCGGACGUCCGACGGCUGUAGCACGCCAUCAGAUGAAUGUAUCAGGAUAUUUGCGAAAACAGGUUUGACGGACGUCCGACAUUUUUUGGACGUCCGGAGACCGGACGUCCGGAACUUACCAGAUUUCCGUCCGUUUGAUUCUGGAUUGGCGCACCGGAUUUCCGGACGUUACCGGACGUCCGGCCAAAAUAACAGCAGGAACCCCAAAACUAAAACAUGCAUAACUUUCACAUCCGGACUCCGAUUUUGAUGAUCUUGGGCUCGUUUUGAAGCUAUGGAAAAGGUCCAAGUCCUCAGAUAGAGAAACACCCAAAAUAAACCAAAAUGGAGGGUUCAAAUUAUGCAAAGGUUAGAUCAUAUAUUUUGGGAAACUAUUUGGCUUUGGCUUUUCUUUGGUAUAUAGGAUAUGAGUGAAAUUGUGUAUAGAAGAUGUUGACUUGAGAAAAUCCAUCACAAACCCCUUUGCUCCCCUCUUAAUAGUGCGGGAUCCCUAUAACUCAAGAAUCAUAAAAAUAGCUACACUACAUAGCUAUCAAGAAUCCAUUCUUGAGUGUAUAUGUUUCUUUGGUGGUCAUCACCCCCCAACACUAACGUCAAAGGAACUAAUACCUUUGACACGAUCCAUUCACCUGAGCUUGAUGUUGAUGUUUCUUCCUGGCUCAAGAUGAAGGCAAGACAUUGGUGAAGUCUUCAAGUCUCUCCCCCAUACACAAUGUGGGGAAGCUUUGCUUUGUAUUCAUCUUCACCUGUCCAUUAUGUGAUCAUCCACAAGCUUCAAGCAUGUAACCCUUUGGGAUGGUUAUCUUGAACUUGCCCUUGUCAACCAUGAUCACCAAACACUUGAUGUCAUCCUCUAAUAGACACUUGAAAUCUCUUUCUCGACGCGAGCCCAUGAGAAUCACCUAACCCUCAAAAACAUAGACAACACAUAGUAUGGGUUAGUACACAGAGUGUAAUUGAUAAUUUCUUAUCAUACCACAAGAUCCUAUGUGGUGCAUCAUUUGCGCUCGUGUGUUGACCAUUUAGAGUUUGAUCUUUGAGCUUCAUCUUGGUCAACCUAUAUCUCUACUCCAUGUUUAAUCUUGACGUCUUGAAGGGUAUAUUGAAUUCUUCACUUGAAUGGCUUGCUUGAAUACUUGAUCAAUCAUGACUCAACACGUGAGUCCAUUAUGAUCAUAUCUUUGAGCCACUCCUAGAGUUCAUCAUUCAAAUCAUCCUUUUAAGAUCUUGAUCCAUUAUGGCUCAAACCAUAGCUCUAAGCAUGGAACCAUAAGAUACUUCAAUGAACUUCAUUUUGAUCAUCUCAAUGUAAUUGUUGCUUCAAAGGAGUUGUCUUCCAUUAUUCUUCAAUCACAUUCCAAUGGGACUAACCUUCAAAUGUAUAUCUUAAUGCAAACAUUAGUCCAUAAGGAUUGUCAUUAAUUACCAAAACCACACAUGGGGACAACAUGUACUUUCAGUCUCCCCCAUUUUGGUAAUUGAUGACAAUCUCAACAAGAGGGUUCAUAUAAUGAAUUUUUAAACAAGCACACAAUUUUUUUCGAGGAUAAAUUGUAUACUUGCGGUGAAUAGCAUUAUUCAAAGAAACUUGAUGAUAUCAAAACCAGUUGUACUAACAUCAAAACACUACACAAGCAUUUGAUGUUAGUAAGACCACAAUAUAAAGAGUAAGCUCCCCCACAAUAUAUGCAUGUGUGAAUGAACUUUGAAUUUCAUUGCAUAUAUUGGUUGAUAUAAACUAGUCCGAGAUUUCUCUAUAUAUUCAUUCAUGCAACAAGCAUAUAUAACUAGGGUGAAUAGCAUGAAUGACAACAAGAACUACAAAAGAUAUUUAUUUUAAACCCUCUAAACUUCUCCCCCAUUGGCAACAAAUGCCAAAAUGGAAGACAAAACAUCUAGAAGACCAAUAUAGUAUGAGUUCCUCCUUGAUGUGUGCAUAUCACAAGAUGUGAGUGAACGCAAAUGCACAUAUUCAAUAAUGAACAAUUUGAGGAGCUCAGAAUCUAUAAAAUGCAACUAGAUAUGAAGAUACUAAGACAUGUGAGGAAAACAGUCAAAACACAUGAGUGCGCAAGAUUAUAUGCCAAACAUACAAGCACUCACGUCACAACCUCUUACCGAAACCACCAUAAGAAUAAGAGGAAACAAACAAAGUGGCCGGCAAGGAAUAAAUGAUACCAAGGAAAGAUAUGAACUUUCUCAUGUAUAAGAAAUUUCUGAGUGGCCAAUCAUAAUCAUGAUAUGUAUCCGCAAAGAAACUUUGCAAACACAAAAUACAUGCAAUUGAUAAGAAUAUUAUAUACAGAAGUGAAUCCAAUAUUAUACAACUGAAACCUAGUGAUAAUAGCAAGGCACAUGGCACAAAUUGAUCUCAUUUGCAUAACACAAAGUGAAGCAAGCAAUCAAAUGAUCCGAUGAGCCAAAAGGAUAAAAGAAUAUUAUAAUUUGGGCAAAUGAGUGUUCUAAGGAAAAUAGAGAAGCUCCCCAUGAUUUGUGCACUAUUUAGAAUUUUUGUAUUUGGAUACAAGUGCACAAAAUAGGAUCAUCACUCCCCCAAAAUCAAUAGGAACACAACACAAUUUCAAGCAGGCAUAGAUAGGAAAGGAAGCCUAGCAUUUGCAACAAAGAUAUGGUUGAGCACCAUGUAAAUGAGGCAACCUAAGAAUAGGCACAACCAAAAUGAUGUGUGUGAGUCACGUCAAAGCACUUGAGAAGACUAGUAUAAGGAUGAGAAUUAAGCAUCAACAUAGCCUUGAGUAAAUGAGAUAUAAGGUGCAAGACAUGUCCUUCCCACACACAUGAAGUUAAGAAGGUCACACACACAUCAAGCAAAUGGGUUCACACGCUCACUAAUAGCAAACUAAAAAUCAAAGCUUGUGACAACCCAUGAUGAAGAUAGGAAAUAAUAGGCUUGUCAAGACAAGCAUGAGGACACCAAUCUUCACCAAACAUGAGUGCACUAAGAUGCAAAGAGGUAAGACAUGCACUCAUUCAACAAAUGCUUCCAUGGAGCCACCAAAAGGAUAUAAAAAGUGAAUGAAAUGGUGGACAUGAAAGAAUAGGGAUAUCAUCUAGAGAUGUAACUUCUCUCACGUGUAUAAGAUACUAGGUAGAUGAUAGCCACAAAGAAGGAUGUACACAUAAAAUAGUUACAAAAGGAAGGAAUAAGAUAUCCAAACGGGAGUCAUAAAAUAUACCAAUGAGAUCUUUGCUUGAAAGCAUAGCACAUGGCUUAAUAUAAUCUUAUUGUAUAUUAAUGAACUCCAAACAUACAACCAUCAAAGACAUCACAACUAGCAACAAGAGAUCAUUGUUGGGAUGCUUUGAGAAAGGAAACAAGUAUCACAGGAACGAGUCAAGAAAUUCAUGCCAUGAUGCAACCUACACAAGGCUGACCUCAUUUCUAUAUAUAUAUGCAUGAAGUAAAUACUUGUUACCGAGAUAGCAUUGGUAUGAAGUUGUAGAUCAAUAAAAUGUCCAAGCUUGGCUCUAAUUUCCUCAUAGUGCCAUCACCUUCAUGAAUAAGCCAAGCAUCCAAUGCUUCUCAAAUGUACCUAAAAUAUUUUAAGUACAAUAUGGUCCCCAAACUUAUUGGGUUCAACGUAGUUAGCAUAACUACAACACAUAGGGUAAAACCACUUAAAUAUGUGCCUAUUGAUAUGAAUUUGAAUUUCAUGCACAUCAUAGCUAUUAAGAAUUUGAUGGAUUUACCAUAUAUAUAUAUUGGAUCAAAUAAGGCAAACAAGGCAUGUGAAUUUACACAUAGUAAAUAUGCAUGCACAAGCCUACCAAAAUCCAGGGAGAUACAAAUUGGACAAAUGACCACAUAACUGUUAAUACUUCCAAUAACAUCACUAGUCAUUCAUGUUGUCCAAAAUGAAUCAAAGUGACAAAUCAACAUAUGAUAGCACACAAAGUUCAACAUAUGAACCAAGGAAAAAACAAUGAGCAUAUAAUAUAUGCAUUGCACACAUACUCAUAGAAAUAUCCCACUCAAGUAGAUAUAGGACACUAUAAACAAUGAGAUAACAAACUCUCAUAUAGAGCAAUAAGAUGAAUUCGAACAAAAUGGUAUUUCGGGUUAUCAUUCGGUGUAGAAACCAAAUAAGUACAUGAUCAUCUAUACUAACACAAGCAUAACAUGAGAGUUUAGAAAUAACCACAAUGCUUGGAUAGCAUGAUAUUAACAUUCCAACUAUAUAGAUCAUCAUGUAAAGAAAUAAUUGGAAUAGCUUUAAUCAAAUGAUUUUCCAAAUAUGAUUUUAAAGAUAACCAUGGGCAAAACCACACAAGAAUGCCAUACGUAAACAAGACAUUGCAUGCCACAGAGAUAUAAGAUAAUCUCAAAUAUAAAUUCUAAGUGGCAUCCCUCAAUUGUUCAUUAUUAACAAGGAUUGUGAUAUGCACAAAGCAUAUCACUCCCCCAUAAUAUGAUGAUCCAUGUAUUAUCCACAAGAAGCAAAUGAAACCCAACUAAGGAUAAUUAAUGGAUGAGAAUUUGAGUUUCAAAUGAGCUUUACAUACCACAUAGUAACUAGAUAACAUUGUACUAACAAUACUAGGUGGUAUCCCACAUACAUACACAUUUAAGGUUUGUGAUAUCCGUAAAACAUAGCACUCCCCCAUAAUGUGAUGAUCCAGCAAAGGAAGAUUCAAAUAAUGAAGCAAUAAAGGCUUGAAACCACACACGCACAAAUAUAUGAAGUGCAUUGCGACCUACACAUGCUAGAUAACACAAAUCAAUCAUACUAGAAAGCACAACUAUAAAAGUACAUGCUAGGUACAAAACCUAAAAAUGCAAGGGACAUAGUAACUUUCAAUGUAAACAAUGCAAGUACAAGUUACCGCAAAGAGGAGCAUUGAAUUGAUAGAUAUGAUGAUAAUCCACUUGACUUGGCAUUAACCAUAACAUAUGGUGAAAAUAGUUUUUCUUCAUGAAGUAGCCAAGUCUCCAAUGCCAUCCACACACCUAUUGAUCAAGUUUGAGCUUGAUGGUCCCCAACCAAGUUGGGUCCUAAGAAGUUAGUAACAAUAGGCUUGGCAACCCAAAUGGUCUUGUCCACUUUCAAACUUCUUUGGGAACCCACAAACUUGGCAAACACAUUGCCACCAAGAUCCUUCCUUAGUGAAUAAUGAUUAUUGACUAUAGGAGGCUUAGAUAUGUUACCGUUGGGACAAGAUGAAGCUAUGUGUCCCUUCUUACGGCAAAUAUAGCAACAUGUUCUCCCCUUUCUCUUCUUCUUUACCUUUUCAACUUGGAGAGCAUUAUCUUGGUUAGGCAUGGGAAGAGGCCUUUCAUUAUCUUGAUAUUGAACUUGAGGCCACUUCCCUUGAUGCUUCACAUUUGAAGCCUUCUUCUUCAAUGGACAAGAUCUCACAUGGUGUCCAACAUUCUUGCAUUUGAAGCAAGUAAUGUUGGCCGAAUUCUUGACUUGAUCUUGUCCCUUCUUCUUGUUCUUGGACUUCUUCUUGUUGGAGAUGAACUCAAGUCCUGUUUUGUCUUGAGGAUCCUUUUGCACACUCAAGAUAUUAUCACAACAUUUUUCCAAGUCUUUCUUCAAACUAGUGACUUGGGCCUUGAGCUCUUUAUUUUCCUCUACAAGGUUAGUAUUAACAAAAGAACUAGAGGAAGUAGAAGCUUCAUUGUUAGAGCAACAAGGCAUGGUGAGCAAUUCAUUAGAAGAUGUACCAAUAUCAUGUAGAGAGGAAUUGCAAGGACUGGCACAUGACAAUAAGGCAUUUUGAGUAGAAGAUGUGCUAAUAUCCACAUGAGACUCACAUGAUUUUACCUUGGUGACCAUAGCCUCAUGAGCUAACUUUAACUCAUCAUGAGAGAUUAGAAGAUCCUCAUGAGUGCCCGAGAGCUUUUUAUGACUUUCUCCCAAUUUACCAUAAUUGCUAGUUAGCAAAUCAAGUUGAGUCCUUAGCUCAACAUUUUCUGUUAAUAUCGAUGCUUCACACAAGAUAGAGUUAGUAGCACAAGCAUCAUUAUCAAUAUGAGAGUAGCAUGUAGAAGCUAGAGACUCCGCAUGAGUAGCUUGAAGUUCCUCAUGAGACUUAGAGAGUUUGGUGAGCUCUCCUUUGACCUUCUUGUAGUCAAGGUCAAGGUGCUCAAAAUCCUCUUUAAGUUUACAAUGAGUAACUUCAAUCUCUUCUUUUAAAGACCUCAAGUCACUAAGACAUUGAUGAGCCAUAGCAAGUUCAUGUUCAAGUUGUUCACUUUUUGCUUGCUCGUAAAGAAAUAAGUCGUUACAUUUUUGAAAGCAAGCAAGAACAUCUUGGAGCCUUUUAUAAGUGUUAUUUUUAGCUCUACGAAGAGUUUUCCCAAUCUCAUAGAGAUUUUGAGUCAAGACUUCGUCAUCUUCCUCAUUACAACUAUCAUCAUUAUCACUAAGAGAAGAUGAUACCUCGUCAUUACCUCUUGCCAUGAGGCACAUGUGAACAAAAGGGGUUGAUGAUGAUUCUUUUGGAGAAGAGGGUUCUUCAUCAAUCAAGCAUGCCUCAUCUUUCUUGAUUUCCUCUACAUGGUUAGUCAUAGAAAAACUAGAGGAAACCAAAACAUUUAUAUCAUGGCAACAUGGGAGAUCAAGCAUAUUAUCACAAAUGAGCAUAACACCAUCAUUACAUGAUAUUUCUUCACUCACCAUGUCAUUACCUUGUGGUAUGCCACAUGUUGGUGAAGUGAAAGAUGUUGAGGUAUGCAAGUAAUCGGAGGUGGAAGCAAUAGAGAGCUCUUAAUGAUUUAAAAAUGUGGAGAACUCCUCCAUUAACUCCCCAAAAAGAAUAUUGUCUUCAUGAAGAUUGGACCCACCAUAUAUAUCUUCAAUUUUGGUCCAAGCAUCAUGAGCCAACGAACAAGACGAGAUUGACUUGAACACCUCAAAGGUUAUAGCUUGGUGAAUGGUACUUAAAGCUUCACUAUAAAGAUGCAUAUCACCAAGUGACGGACAUUGUCCAUCCUUUAGAUUUGAAUUUCCUACAACCACAAUCUGCAAAGCAUUUGGACCCAUGGCCCGAAAAUGACAAAGCAUGUGUAAUCUCCACAUAAUGUAAUUUGUUCCAUUAAAACAAAAUGUGUCAUCAUGCACUAGUUCACUAGUCGACAUCGUUACUCUCUAGGCGGUUAAGCCUAAUAAGGAGAGACCUUGCUCUGAUACCAAUUGAAAGGACCAUGAUGUCGCCUAGAGGGGGGUGAAUAGGCGUUUUAAAAUCUUUUACGGAUUUGGAUAUAUCCUAAUGCGGAAAUAAACUAAGCGGAUACUUUUCAAGCACAAAUCUUAAAUAUACUAGGCUCACUAAGUGCACCAACAACUUAGCAUAAACAAGAUGAGAACAACACGAUAUGAGUAAGCACAAGUAAGUCACACAAACUUACUCAGUGUAUAUCACGAGGUAUGGAAAUGAAUAAUACACACAACCACAAGUAAGCAAUACAAGCUUACACAAAUUGUAUCACAAUAUAUGGAAUUGAAUGAUACAAGCAAACUCAAGUAAGUUACACAAACUUACUUGAGCAAUAUCACAAUAUAUGGAAGUUUAUAACACAAGUUAGCAAUUCACACUAAUCACAAUGUAUAUCAAUAGUACCAAGUAUGAAUUGCGGAAUAUGAAGUGUAUGCCUAAAUAAUCUCUACAAGGAAAUGGCCAACACAAUAUAAUCAACCACCACAAUAUAAUGAGGACAACAAGAUAUAGUGAAUGCACGGUCAAAUGACCAAAGUAAACCACAAGUAAGGAGUUAGGGUUAGGGAUAACCAAAGUCACGGAGACGAGGAUGUAUCCCGAUGUUCACUUCCUUGGAGGGAAGCUAGUCACCGUUAGAGAGGUGGAUGUUACCACGAAGGCACACCAACGCCACGAAGGCUCACCCUAUUCUCCUUGAGAUAUCAUCAUGAAGGCGAUUCUCAACCACUAGUGGUAGACCUUGAGGCGGCCUCCAAACCUUCACAAACUUUCUGGGGGACAAAUCACAAGUUGAUUCCUCACCGGAGCACUCCUACCGCCUAGGAGUCUCCAACCUCCAAGAGUAACAAGAACAAAGGGGAA